GGAUAGGUGGGAGGCUUUGAAGUGUGGACGCCAGUCUGCAUGGAGCCGACCUUGAAAUACCACCCUUUAAUGUUUGAUGUUCUAACGUGGACCCGUAAUCCGGGUUGCGGACAGUGUCUGGUGGGUAGUUUGACUGGGGCGGUCUCCUCCUAAAGAGUAACGGAGGAGCACGAAGGUUGGCUAAUCCUGGUCGGACAUCAGGAGGUUAGUGCAAUGGCAUAAGCCAGCUUGACUGCGAGCGUGACGGCGCGAGCAGGUGCGAAAGCAGGUCAUAGUGAUCCGGUGGUUCUGAAUGGAAGGGCCAUCGCUCAACGGAUAAAAGGUACUCCGGGGAUAACAGGCUGAUACCGCCCAAGAGUUCAUAUCGACGGCGGUGUUUGGCACCUCGAUGUCGGCUCAUCACAUCCUGGGGCUGAAGUAGGUCCCAAGGGUAUGGCUGUUCGCCAUUUAAAGUGGUACGCGAGCUGGGUUUAGAACGUCGUGAGACAGUUCGGUCCCUAUCUGCCGUGGGCGCUGGAGAACUGAGGGGGGCUGCUCCUAGUACGAGAGGACCGGAGUGGACGCAUCACUGGUGUUCGGGUUGUCAUGCCAAUGGCACUGCCCGGUAGCUAAAUGCGGAAGAGAUAAGUGCUGAAAGCAUCUAAGCACGAAACUUGCCCCGA
rnacentral:rRNA from 2 species